GACGAACGCUGGCGGCGUGCUUAACACAUGCAAGUCGAACGGAAAGGCCCUGCUUUUGUGGGGUGCUCGAGUGGCGAACGGGUGAGUAACACGUGAGUAACCUGCCCUUGACUUUGGGAUAACUUCAGGAAACUGGGGCUAAUACCGGAUAGGAGCUCCUGCUGCAUGGUGGGGGUUGGAAAGUUUCGGCGGUUGGGGAUGGACUCGCGGCUUAUCAGCUUGUUGGUGGGGUAGUGGCUUACCAAGGCUUUGACGGGUAGCCGGCCUGAGAGGGUGACCGGCCACAUGGGGACUGAGAUACGGCCCAGACUCCUACGGGAGGCAGCAGUGGGGAAUAUUGCACAAUGGGCGGAAGCAUGAUGCAGCAACGCCGCGUGCGGGAUGACGGCCUUCGGGUUGUAAACCGCUUUCGCCUGUGACGAAGCGUGAGUGACGGUAAUGGGUAAAGAAGCACCGGCUAACUACGUG
rnacentral:rRNA from 1 species